CGCAAGCCUGACGGAGCAACGCCGCGUGAGGGAGGAAGGCCUGUGGGUUGUAAACCUCUUUUCUCUGGGAAGAAGACCUGACGGUACCAGAGGAAUCAGCACCGGCUAACUCCGUGCCAGCAGCCGCGGUAAGACGGAGGAUGCAAGCGUUAUCCGGAAUUAUUGGGCGUAAAGCGUCCGCAGGCGGCCAAUUAAGUCUGCUGUCAAAGCCUAGGGCUCAACCCUAGAUCGGCAGUGGAAACUGGUUGGCUAGAGUACGGUAGGGGUAGAGGGAAUUCCCAGUGUAGCGGUGAAAUGCGUAGAUAUUGGGAAGAACACCAGUGGCGAAGGCGCUCUACUGGGCCGAAACUGACGCUGAGGGACGAAAGCUAGGGUAGCA
rnacentral:rRNA from 1 species